AAUAAAUAAAACUUAAUUCACAGAUCUCCCCUAUGCUGCUAGAUAAUGGAAUGCAAUUAUAUCAGAAAUAUAUAUCCUAUGAUUUACUUUCCCCCUCGCAUUUUUCAUGGACUGCAGAGGAAAUGUCUCGUAUUUUUUAAAACUUCAAGAUGCUUUGGCGCUGCGUUAUCUGCCUCGUUUUCCUCACUUUUUCACUGAAACAGUUAUUGAGCCAUAUUAAUCGAAUGCACAGCCGUAGCCCUGAUUUCAGGUUGCUCUGUGGUAUUGACGGAUGCACUGAGGAAUAUCGAGUGUAUAACUCAUUCUAUCAUCAUGUGAAAAGAAGACACUCUCAACACCUUAUUGAAAGCAACAGACCAGGCGAUGGCAACCAUGUAGGUGAACAGCCACAGGAGGAGAGUCAAGGAACACACCAGCAACAAGACAACAUUCAACUCAACUUCCAGGGGACUCUAGUAUCACCAAUCAACAGCUCUGUACACCUGAUACAGAUGAAGGGCAAAUGGACAUUAACCAAGAUGGAGCUGCCACAGUACAACCAGAUCUGACAACACGCCUUUGUCAUAAAUGCCCGAGCCAAACAUCGUCUCUCACAGAAAGGCAUGAAUGACAUUGUUGCUGGAGUGCAGCAGUAUCAGUCAUCAUUGUUGGACAACCUCAGGGGGCAGAUGAAGCAAGUACUAAAGAAUCAUUCAGGAAGCACAUCAGGACACCUUCAAAAAGAAGUAAUGGGCAUAUUUGAUAAUUUUAUUGACCCUUUUGCAAGUGUUGCAACAAUAUUUCAACAGAACAGUGUUAUUAAGAAGCAGUUCAGUGUUGUGGAUGCAGAAGAAAUUUCAAUUGCUCGAAGCAUAUGCAGGACGAAACGUGGAGGAUCUAAAGACUUUUUCAUCAAAGACAAAGCAUUUCAUUAUGUACCAUUAGUCAAAAGUCUAGAACAGUUCUUAUCACAUCCAAGGAUAUCUGAUAUAUGAUUGACAAGGGACCACAGAGGUGCAGAGAAGGUUUUUUUGUGAACAUUGUUGAUGGCACCCUUCUACAAUCACAUCCCUUAUU